GACGAACGCUGGCGGCGUGCUUAACACAUGCAAGUCGAACGGAAAGGCCCUGCUUUUGUGGGGUGCUCGAGUGGCGAACGGGUGAGUAACACGUGAGUAACCUGCCCUUGACUUUGGGAUAACUUCAGGAAACUGGGGCUAAUACCGGAUAGGAGCUCCUGCUGCAUGGUGGGGGUUGGAAAGUUUCGGCGGUUGGGGAUGGACUCGCGGCUUAUCAGCUUGUUGGUGGGGUAGUGGCUUACCAAGGCUUUGACGGGUAGCCGGCCUGAGAGGGUGACCGGCCAAAUGGGGACUGAGGAACGGCCCAGACCCCUAGGGGGGGCAGCAGGGGGGAAAAUUGCACAAGGGGCGGAAGCCUGAUGCAGAAACGCCGGGGGGGGGAGGAGGGCCUUCGGGUUGUAAACCGCUUUCCCCUGGGACGAAGCGGGAGUGACGGUAAUGGGUAAAGAAGCACCGGCAAACUACGU
rnacentral:rRNA from 1 species